CAGUCUGCAGAGGAGAGAGCCCUAGUUCCCAGGGAGGUUGCAGAGGGCCUGGGGCACAGCUAGGCCUCCCACCCUGUGGGAUGGGCCGGGCAGGACGGAGGGGAGGCUUGUGGGCCCCACCUCCACCGGCCAGGCAGCCCCUGGCGGGGUGUGGGGUCAAGGCUGGGCGGGAAGGUUAAACAAGCAGACGACAAGGGGGCUGGGGCUGCGCAGGGAGAGUUUGCAGCCAGCCCAGCUCCAGGCCAGUCAGUGGCCCCACUGGGGCCUGCUGGGGGAGGGGAGGUCAUCCACCAGAGCAGAAGGCCGCCUGGAGGCCUAGGGUUGGCCGCCUGCCCCAUGGCCCCCAGGAGUGAUAAGCGCAGAGCGGGGAGCACAGAGCGGCAGGAGCGCAGGGCCCACCCGGGCUGGCCUCGCAGCUCUCCCACAUCAUGCUGCCCUCGCUUCCACCCCCCUUCAUCUCCCUGCCUGUGGUGGUAUGAAGAUAUGAGAACACGGACACUGGCAGAGCUGCUCUGAAGAAUCUGAAGUGCUGCGUGAGGUUGCAUCUAUAUAGACCCUUUCAACCCAGGAGUGCCAUUCUGGGGGCAUGCACCAGAAUGCAUCCCAAUGACAUACAUAAUAGCAGAAGCUGGCAGCACCCUAAACAUCCCCCAAAGGGGCAGUCAACUAUCCCUGGGCCUCGCAGUGUCUUUUCCUGACCGACUACAGAUUUCUCAACCCAUAAUCUGACGGCCCUCUUACUGACAGAUGGGGUCCAAGGCCCCUCGUCUUGAGCCUUGAGGGGCCCUCGGCCUGCAGCGGUCCACAGAGGAUGGACCCCAGAGGAGCGAUGCUCUGAAUUUUCAGGUCAGGCUCUGUGUCCCUCUCCCUCUACCCCCUCCAUGCUUCUUCUGGAAACCCAAGUAGUGUGAGAGCCAGGUCACGUGGAGAGGACCCUUGUGGGGCUUCUUCAGCUGACUCCAGCCUCAGCCCUCAGACGGAUGGGCCACUGGGGCUUCAGAUGCAUCUGGACCUCACCCCCGACCCCCACGUUCAAGUCUUCCAGCUGAGGCCCCAACAUCGUGCCCUGGAGAUGAGCCACCCUCAACCCACAGACCCCAUAAGCCACUAACAUUGAUUAUUGUGUUACACCACCAAGUUUUGGGGAAAUGUGUGACUGCAGUCAUAGGAACCAGAACAAUGGCAUACGUGGCUGUUGGGUUAGUACAUAGCGAUUUAAAAAUCAGUAUGAAAAAUAAAAUAAAAUAAAAUAAAAUAAAAUAAAAUAUA
rnacentral:lncRNA from 12 species